CAUCUUUGUCCUCAUUUCAACCCAUGAUACACUCUCUCACCAUCUCCAUCCAUCCUCCUCCCUGUAGUCCCUCCCUUUAGUACCUGGCUUAUCCUGCCCCUGUCCAGUUAAGUGGUGGAGAGUUUGGGAGCGGUGAGCUCUGAUAGAGAAAUGUAUCAUUCUCCACAAACAGGUUGGUGUAUUGGGGCGGCUUGUUCUGUCCUCUGUAUUUCAGACCAAAGCAAGACAAUGUUUAAAGCUCACUAUGGAUCUACAAACAGUGUCAACUUGAAUUUGAUUGUGGCUGUGGAAGACUGGUCCCUUGAUGAUGUCUGCAAGUGGCUGAAUACCAAUGAUCUCCAUGAUUCCAUCCCAUCAUUCCAAGGUUCACAAUCUGUCUGAAGAAUGCCAACUCUAUUCAAUUGUCCACUUUGCAACAAACAUACUUUCUGUGUCCAGACUACUCACACAUAUUGGCCUCUAUCACCAGCAUGAACCACAUUUUCUAAUUACCUGUGGACCUAAUGGGUGUGGGAAAACAAAUAGAUGUUUCAGCGCCUAUCGGUCACACAUCUACCGAAACCACAGAGAGCUUUUAAGCGCCAAUUUAGAUGAGAAUUGCCCUCAUGAUGAAUUUGAGACUGGGACUGAUCCCAUUGAAGAUGACGUGAGUGAUGUAGAGAGUCUGCCAGAGGCUGAACAUGUUCAAGCCACAGAGAUCAACACUGAGCAGCUAAUUGAACAUCUAAAAAAUAAUCUGUAUUUUUAUUUUGAAAAUCAGGGAAGAACACUGCAUCCCAGCUACGGUACAGAAUAGCAUUGUUGAUGACCUCAGAACCAUUUUUGAUGCAUUUAUGACACACCACAGUGAUGACCUCAGGUUUCACCUCACAAAUAAGCAGAUAAAUGUGGAUGAAGAUGACGAACUCAGGGACUUGCCUAACAACUCUGCAGUAUUUGAGGAAUGUAUUAGAUGCAUGAGCUCUGAGUGGAUGCUGGAGCAUUACUGUUUGAAAGAAUUGGGCAUGGUCAGGCCAAUUGAAAUACCCCUGAGCAACAAAGAAGGUUAUUAAACAACGUCAUUUCAAUACAUCCCACUGGUCAGAAUACUGCAAAAAAUAGCAAGUAAUGAAGAGGUCUGGGCCACCUUGAAUCAAGACCAAAAUGAUAUAAUUCUGGAAGACUUUACUGACGGUGAAUUGUUCAAAUCAGAUCCCAACCUAACAAAGCAGAGCCUCCAUCUGCAGUUCUAUGUAGAUUAAUUUGAAGUUGUCAAUCCACUGGGUUGUAAAAAAGGCACACACAAAAUUGACCACAGUGUACUUCCCAACUCCAAAAUAUAUACCUCUCAACACUGGUUCAUCCCUGCAUCAUUUAAAAACAAGUCACCACUUACGAAGAAGUAUUCAGGCCUUUGAUACGUGACAUCCAGGAAUUGGAAACACAGGGUUUGAAGUUAUCAUGCAAUGGUGAAAACAAAACCUUCCGAGGCACAAUCACAACAAUCUCCUCAGAUAAUCUCUCCGCACAUGCAGUUGCAGGGUUUAGCAAAAACUUUUCCUCUGGUCGCAUUUGUCGUUUCUGCUUCGCUACGAAGAGGGACAUUUGCUCAAAAAUCACUGAAGAGGAAUUCACCCAGAAAACUACAAGUACCAUCUGCAGGCUGUGGAAGAAAAUCCAGACAAUGCAUCGAUGUAUGGCAUCAAAAAAGCCUGUUGCUUCUCUCAGCUGAAUCAUGUGCCAUUUCCAAUUACCUAUCUGUUUCCACCAGAUGUCAUGCAUGACCUUCAUUUAGGCGCAACAGAGCCUCUUCAACCUCAGGAGGCU